GCCGGGCGCGGUGGCGCGCGCCUGUAGUCCCAGCUACUCGGGAGGCUGAGGCCGGAGGAUCGCUUGAGUCCAGGAGUUCUGGGCUGUCGUGCGCUAUGCCGAUCGGGUGUCCGCACUAAGUUCGGCAUCAAUAUGGUGACCUCCCGGGAGCGGGGGACCACCAGGUUGCCUAAGGAGGGGUGAACCGGCCCAGGUCGGAAACGGAGCAGGUCAAAACUCCCGUGCUGAUCAGUAGUGGGAUCGCGCCUGUGAAUAGCCACUGCACUCCAGCCUGGGCAACAUAGCGAGACCCUGUCUCUU
ensembl:misc_RNA Metazoa_SRP Metazoan signal recognition particle RNA